rnacentral:rRNA from 1 species
GGAGGAAAGUAGGGGAUCGCAAGACCUUGCGCUAAAGGAGCGGCCGAUGUCUGAUUAGCUAGUUGGUGGGGUAAAGGCUUACCAAGGCAACGAUCAGUAGUUGGUCUGAGAGGACGGCCAACCACACUGGGACUGAGACACGGCCCAGACUCCUACGGGAGGCAGCAGUGGGGAAUUUUGGACAAUGGGCGAAAGCCUGAUCCAGCCAUGCCGCGUGAGUGAAGAAGGCCUUCGGGUUGUAAAGCUCUUUUAGUCGGAAAGAAAGAGUUGCAAUGAAUAAUUGUGAUUUAUGACGGUACCGACAGAAAAAGCACCGGCUAACUACGUGCCAGCAGCCGCGGUAAUACGUAGGGUGCGAGCGUUAAUCGGAAUUACUGGGCGUAAAGGGUGCGCCGGCGGUCUUGCAAGUCAGAUGUGAAAGCCCCGGGCUUAACCUGGGAAUUGCGUUUGAAACUACAAAGCUAG